GGAAAGGUGGCUCAGUGGUAGAGCACUUGCCUUGCAUGCAUGAGGUCCUGGUGUCAAUUCCU
rnacentral:tRNA from 1 species